rnacentral:rRNA from 1 species
UAACACGUGGGUAACCUGCCUCAUAGAGGGGAAUAGCCUUUCGAAAGGAAGAUUAAUACCGCAUAAGAUUGUAGUACCGCAUGGUACAGCAAUUAAAGGAGUAAUCCGCUAUGAGAUGGACCCGCGGUCGCAUUAGCUAGUUGGUGAGGUAACGGCUCACCAAGGCGACGAUGCGUAGCCGACCUGAGAGGGUGAUCGGCCACAUUGGGACUGAGACACGGCCCAGACUCCUACGGGAGGCAGCAGUGGGGAAUAUUGCACAAUGGGGGAAACCCUGAUGCAGCAACGCCGCGUGAGUGAUGACGGUCUUCCGAUUGUAAAGCUCUGUCUUUAGGGACGAUAAUGACGGUACCUAAGGGAAGAAACCACGGCUAACUACGUGCCAGCAGCCGCGGUAAUACGUAGGUGGGGAGCGGUGGCCGGAUUUACUGGGCCUAAAGGGAGCGUAAGUGGAUAUUUAAAGUGGGAUGUGGGAAUACCCCGUCCUUAACCCGGGGAGCUUUGAUUCCCACACUGCGGCAUCUUCUAGGUGCGGCGA